UGAAGUUUGCCUUUGCCUUCUGUUACCCUCUGUUUGGGCAAAGCGCUCGGGAGUUCAACCCUUAAGACAUGGUGAACGAAGAGGUCGGAAGCAAGCUUAUACGCUUCCUUUGGUUCGUCGGGGCCGGAGUGGUCUGCACUAAGGGCAUCAAUCUAUGGAGGGAACAUGAGCAGAAGGCAGCUCUUAAAGCGGCAGAAGGCUCUUCUCCAGGGCCAACUGAGAUAGCGAACACAGUCGCUUCGAAAUCUUGAGUCCUGGUUGGUCCUUACUACAUUCGAAGUUCUGUUCUUUGAUAGAAUAGUGGGAUAUUGAAGUACCGUCUGACGUGGUGAUAUAGCAGCUUGGAUGACUUGUGCUUUCGCAUGGUUACCACUGCAUUGCACGUCAUUGCUGGAAAAUAUUUGGAGGUCCCUGAUACUGGAGCAUUGUCAGUUGUGAUAUGCUUAUGGUUUAAAACAUGGGAUGUUAGUUAUCAUUUACAUUUUCUUAUUACCUCUAUAUGGAGAGAAGGGAUUUUAUUGUAUAUGAUAUUUAAACAAGGCAUGGAACGUUCAAAAGUCCUGUUUGCAUCAAAUUAUCACCAUGUGCUUGAUCCCAAGAAUUGGCCACAUGAAUUCUAUGCAAAAAAUUGCACCUUGUGAUUGGUUAUUUUGCUGCGAAG